AUCGCUUCUCAGCAUUUUUGCUAAAAUCAAAUGUAGUAUCUGUUCUUAUCAGUUUAAUAUUAAAUGGGGUUGAGUCUUUGAUUUGAGUGAGCAGAAAAUAAAGUGGCAACAUCAUGAUUCCAAAGUGGUUUAGGAAGUCCUUGAUCACGGUAGCAAUGAUUAAUAUCAUUUGUUAAGCACCUUUU